ACACUGAGGCGUGACGACGAGGCACUACGGUGCUGAAGCAACAAAUGCCCUGCUUCCAGGAAAAGCCUCUAAGCAUCAGGUAACAUCAAAUCGUACCCCAAACCGACACAGGUGGUCAGGUAGAGAAUACCAAGGCGCUUGAGAGAACUCGGGUGAAGGAACUAGGCAAAAUGGUGCCGUAACUUCGGGAGAAGGCACGCUGACACGUAGGUGAAGUGAUUUACUCAUGGAGCUGAAGUCAGUCGAAGAUACCAGCUGGCUGCAACUGUUUAUUAAAAACACAGCACUGUGCAAACACGAAAGUGGACGUAUACGGUGUGACGCCUGCCCGGUGCCGGAAGGUUAAUUGAUGGGGUCAGCGCAAGCGAAGCUCCUGAUCGAAGCCCCGGUAAACGGCGGCCGUAACUAUAACGGUCCUAAGGUAGCGAAAUUCCUUGUCGGGUAAGUUCCGACCUGCACGAAUGGCGUAAUGAUGGCCAGGCUGUCUCCACCCGAGACUCAGUGAAAUUGAACUCGCUGUGAAGAUGCAGUGUACCCGCGGCAAGACGGAAAGACCCCGUGAACCUUUACUAUAGCUUGACACUGAACAUUGAGCCUUGAUGUGUAGGAUAGGUGGGAGGCUUUGAAGUGUGGACGCCAGUCUGCAUGGAGCCGACCUUGAAAUACCACCCUUUAAUGUUUGAUGUUCUAACGUGGACCCGUUACCCGGGUUGCGGACAGUGUCUGGUGGGUAGUUUGACUGGGGCGGUCUCCUCCUAAAGAGUAACGGAGGAGCACGAAGGUUGGCUAAUCCUGGUCGGACAUCAGGAGGUUAGUGCAAUGGCAUAAGCCAGCUUGACUGCGAGCGUGACGGCGCGAGCAGGUGCGAAAGCAGGUCAUAGUGAUCCGGUGGUUCUGAAUGGAAGGGCCAUCGCUCAACGGAUAAAAGGUACUCCGGGGAUAACAGGCUGAUACCGCCCAAGAGUUCAUAUCGACGGCGGUGUUUGGCACCUCGAUGUCGGCUCAUCACAUCCUGGGGCUGAAGUAGGUCCCAAGGGUAUGGCUGUUCGCCAUUUAAAGUGGUACGCGAGCUGGGUUUAGAACGUCGUGAGACAGUUCGGUCCCUAUCUGCCGUGGGCGCUGGAGAACUGAGGGGGGCUGCUCCUAGUACGAGAGGACCGGAGUGGACGCAUCACUGGUGUUCGGGUUGUCAUGCCAAUGGCACUGCCCGGUAGCUAAAUGCGGAAGAGAUAAGUGCUGAAAGCAUCUAAGCACGAAACUUGCCCCGAGAUGAGUUCUCCCUGAGACUUAGAGUCUCCUGAAGGAACGUUGAAGACGACGACGUUGAUAGGCCGGGUGUGUAAGCGCAGCGAUGCGUUGAGCUAACCGGUACUAAUGAACCGUGAGGCUUAACCUU
rnacentral:rRNA from 3 species